GGGGUAAUAGUUUAAUUGGUAAAACGAUUGCUUUGCAAGCACUUAAUCCGUGUUCGAUUCACGGUUACUCCA
rnacentral:tRNA from 2 species